rnacentral:rRNA from 1 species
UGGGGAAUAUUGGACAAUGGGCGAAAGCCUGAUCCAGCCAUGCCGCGUGUGUGAAGAAGGUCUUCGGAUUGUAAAGCACUUUAAGUUGGGAGGAAGGGCAGUAAGCGAAUACCUUGCUGUUUUGACGUUACCGACAGAAUAAGCACCGGCUAACUCUGUGCCAGCAGCCGCGGUAAUACAGAGGGUGCAAGCGUUAAUCGGAAUUACUGGGCGUAAAGCGCGCGUAGGUGGUUCGUUAAGUUGAAUGUGAAAGCCCCGGGCUCAACCUGGGAACAGCAUCCAAAACUGGCGAGCUAGAGUAGGGCAGAGGGUGGUGGAAUUUCCUGUGUAGCGGAGAAAUGCGUAGAUAUAGGAAGGAACACCAGUGGCGAAGGCGACCACCUGGGCUCAUACUGACACUGAGGUGCGAAAGCGUGGGGAGCAAACAGG